UUUUGGACAAUGGGCGCAAGCCUGAUCCAGCAAUGCCGCGUGCAGGAUGAAGGCCUUCGGGUUGUAAACUGCUUUUGUACGGAGCGAAAAGGCUUCCACUAAUACUGGGGGCUCAUGACGGUACCGUAAGAAUAAGCACCGGCUAACUACGUGCCAGCAGCCGCGGUAAUACGUAGGGUGCAAGCGUUAAUCGGAAUUACUGGGCGUAAAGCGUGCGCAGGCGGUUAUGUAAGACAGAUGUGAAAUCCCCGGGCUUAACCUGGGAACUGCAUUUGUGACUGCAUAGCUAGAGUACGGUAGAGGGGGAUGGAAUUCCGCGUGUAGCAGUGAAAUGCGUAGAUAUGCGGAGGAACACCGAUGGCGAAGGCAAUCCCCUGGACCUGUACUGACGCUCAUCACGAAG
rnacentral:rRNA from 1 species